UGGGGAAUAUUGGACAAUGGGGGGAACCCUGAUCCAGCCAUGCCGCGUGUGUGAAGAAGGCCUUAUGGUUGUAAAGCACUUUAAGCGAGGAGGAGGGUACUGGUAUUAAUACUACCAGGUACUGGACGUUACUCGCAGAAUAAGCACCGGCUAACUCUGUGCCAGCAGCCGCGGUAAUACAGAGGGUGCGAGCGUUAAUCGGAUUUACUGGGCGUAAAGCGUGCGUAGGCGGCUAAUUGAGUCGGAUGUGAAAUCCCCGAGCUUAACUUGGGAAUUGCAUUCGAUACUGGUUAGCUAGAGUGUGGGAGAGGAUGGUAGAAUGCCAGGUGUAGCGGAGAAAUGCGUAGAGAUCUGGAGGAAUACCGAUGGCGAAGGCAGCCAUCUGGCCUAACACUGACGCUGAGGUACGAAAGCAUGGGGAGCAAACAGG
rnacentral:rRNA from 1 species